rnacentral:lncRNA from 1 species
CCAAUUUUUAGCUCACCUGGCCUAAAAGGCCAUGUGAGCUUUUCUCAUCACUUGGCGUCCGUUGUCGUCGUCGUCUGUCGUCGUUAACAAUUUUUCAAACAUCUUCUCCUCUGAAACUACUGAAUAGAUUUGAAUGAAACUUAAAAUGAUUGUUCCUUAGAUUAUCCUGCACAAAGUGUGUGCUUCGAUUUUUGAUCCGUCAAAAAACAUGGCCGCCGUUACUUAAAAUAGAACAUAGGGGUCAAAUGCAGUUUUUGGCUUAUAUCUCAAAAACGAAAGCAUUUAGAGCAAAUCUGACAUAGGGUAAAAAUG